GACGAACGCUGGCGGCGUGCUUAACACAUGCCAGUCGAACGGAAAGGCCCUGCUUUUGUGGGGUGCUCGAGUGGCGAACGGGUGAGUAACACGUGAGUAACCUGCCCUUGACUUUGGGAUAACUUCAGGAAACUGGGGCUAAUACCGGAUAGGAGCUCCUGCUGCAUGGUGGGGGUUGGAAAGUUUCGGCGGUUGGGGAUGGACUCGCGGCUUAUCAGCUUGUUGGUGGGGUAGUGGCUUACCAAGGCUUUGACGGGUAGCCGGCCUGAGAGGGUGACCGGGCACAUUGGGACUGAGAUACGGCCCAGACUACUACGGGAGGCAGCAGUGGGGAAUAUUGCACAAUGGGCGGAAGCCUGAUGCAGCAACGCCGCGUGCGGGAUGACGGCCUUCGGGUUGUAAACCGCUUUCGCCUGUGACGAAGCGUGAGUGACGGUAAUGGGUAAAGAAGCACCGGCUAACUACGUG
rnacentral:rRNA from 1 species